rnacentral:snoRNA from 1 species
GCACUAAUCCUUUGAAAAAGCUGCAAAUGUUUUAGUUUGCAGUCGAAUGGGAUAAGGUGCUAGAGCAUUUGGGUGAUAGGGUGUUCAUGUAGCCUAACUUCAUGGCUAUCUUUGGCCAAUCAUCACUUGGACAG